rnacentral:rRNA from 1 species
GAUGAACGCUGGCGGCGUGCCUAAUACAUGCAAGUCGAGCGAACAGAUGAGGAGCUUGCUCCUCUGACGUUAGCGGCGGACGGGUGAGUAACACGUGGAUAACCUACCUAUAAGACUGGGAUAACUUCGGGAAACCGGAGCUAAUACCGGAUAAUAUAUUGAACCGCAUGGUUCAAUAGUGAAAGACGGUUUUGCUGUCACUUAUAGAUGGAUCCGCGCCGCAUUAGCUAGUUGGUAAGGUAACGGCUUACCAAGGCAACGAUGCGUAGCCGACCUGAGAGGGUGAUCGGCCACACUGGAACUGAGACACGGUCCAGACUCCUACGGGAGGCAGCAGUAGGGAAUCUUCCGCAAUGGGCGAAAGCCUGACGGAGCAACGCCGCGUGAGUGAUGAAGGUCUUAGGAUCGUAAAACUCUGUUAUUAGGGAAGAACAAAUGUGUAAGUAACUAUGCACGUCUUGACGGUACCUAAUCAGAAAGCCACGGCUAACUACGUG